UCUCCGUUGGUGAACCAGCGGAGGGAUCAUUACCGAGUUUACAGCUCCCAAACCCCUGUGAACAUACCAUUUGUUGCCUCGGCGGUGCCUGCUUCGGCAGCCCGCCAGAGGACCCAAACCCUUGAUUUUAUACAGUAUCUUCUGAGUAAAUGAUUAAAUAAAUCAAAACUUUCAACAACGGAUCUCUUGGUUCUG
rnacentral:misc_RNA from 1 species